GCAGAUGUAGUUCAAUGGUAGAACACAGCCUUGCCAAGCUGAUACGGGGGUUCGAUUCCCCUCAUCUGCUCCA
rnacentral:tRNA from 1 species